CUCUCCUUGGUGAAAUCGGAUAUCACGCUAGCCUCCUAAGCUGGAAUUUCAGGUUCGACCCCUGAAGGGGAGA
rnacentral:tRNA from 1 species